AACGAACGCCGGCGGUAUGCCUAACACAUGCAAGUCGAACGAGACCUUCGGGUCUAGUGGCGCACGGGUGCGUAACGCGUGGGAACCUGCCCUUAGGUUCGGAAUAACUCCCCGAAAGGGGUGCUAAUACCGGAUAAUGUCUUCGGACCAAAGAUUUAUCGCCUUUGGAUGGGCCCGCGUUGGAUUAGCUAGUUGGUAGGGUAAAAGCCUACCAAGGCGACGAUCCAUAGCUGGUCUGAGGGGAUGAUCAGCCACACUGGGACUGAGACACGGCCCAGACUCCUACGGGAGGCAGCAGUGGGGAAUAUUGGACAAUGGGCGAAAGCCUGAUCCAGCAAUGCCGCGUGAGUGAUGAAGGCCUUAGGGUUGUAAAGCUCUUUUACCCGGGAUGAUAAUGACAGUACCGGGAGAAUAAGCUCCGGCCAACUCCGUG
rnacentral:rRNA from 1 species